rnacentral:rRNA from 1 species
UACGGAGGCCUCAAGCGUUGUUCGGAUUCAUUGGGCGUAAAGGGUGUGUAGGUGGCGCCGUAAGUCGGGUGUGAAAUUUCGGAGCUUAACUCCGAAACUGCAUUCGAUACUGCGGUGCUUGAGGACUGGAGAGGAGACUGGAAUUCAUGGUGUAGCAGUGAAAUGCGUAGAUAUCAAGAGGAACGCCAGUGGCGAAGGCGAGUCCCUGGACAACACCUGACACUGAGGCACGAAAGCUAGGGGAGCAAACAGG